GUGGGGAAUCUUGCGCAAUGGGCGAAAGCCUGACGCAGCCAUGCCGCGUGAAUGAUGAAGGUCUUAGGAUUGUAAAAUUCUUUCACCGGGGACGAUAAUGACGGUACCCGGAGAAGAAGCUCCGGCUAACUUCGUGCCAGCAGCCGCGGUAAUACGAAGGGGGCUAGCGUUGCUCGGAAUUACUGGGCGUAAAGGGCGCGUAGGCGGACAGCUUAGUCAGAGGUGAAAGCCCAGGGGUCAACCUUGGAAUUGCCUUUGAUACUGGCUGUGUUGAGUUUGGGAGAGGGGAGUGGAACUCCGGGUGUAGGGGUGAAAUUCGUAGAUAUUCGGAAGAAAACCAGUGGCGAAGGCGACUCACUGGCCCAAUACUGACGCUGAGGCGCGAAAGCGUGGGGAGCAAACAGGAUUAGAAACCCCGGUAGUCC
rnacentral:rRNA from 1 species